AAGAGACCCCAAAGCCAAGACCCCGAACCCCAGGAUGCAGCUGCCAACCAGGCCAGGUCUGGGGGGUGCCCAGCAGUCAUAGCCAGGCAUCUCCCCCAAAGUGUACCCCAAAAUCAGAGCUGGAGAGAAGCCACAGGCCAGCCUUUAAUAGAGAGGACAGAUGGGGCUGGGAACUUUGGGGUGCCCAAUUCCACGGAUCCCAUCCAGGUGCUCAGGUCUCACCUCGCUCCCCAGCGCUGCGGAGGGACAGAUGCCGCCGGUGAGGUGACAGAGCCGGGGGAGGUGACACCCCCGCGGCGGCCCAGGGGAAGGGGGUGGCACCCACAGCAGCUGGCAGAAGCUGAUCACAGCCUGCUCCUGCCCCGCGGUCUCCACGGAGCCGGGCCGGAGGCGCCGGAUCUCGCGGAUGGCGUCGGGGGCGGCCAGGUGCCGCUCCUGGCACAGGUAACAGGCCAGCAGCGUGCCGGUCCGGCCGCGGCCCAGCGUGCAGUGCACCGCCACAGCCUGGCGACGGGGGACACGGAGGGUGGGUGGCACCGCCACGCCCCUCCUGGCACGCCCCGGGGUGUGGAAGCCGGCUGUCGCCUGCUGUCACCCCGCUGCCCCUCACCUGCCAGGUGUGCCCUCUGGAAGUGCCAACCCCCCCCGAGAGGUCACAACCCCGCCGGGGGGGGGGGGGGGGGGGGGGGGGGGGGGGGGGGGGGGGGGGGGGGGGGGGGGGGGGGGGGGGGGGGGGGGGGGGGGGGGGCCCGCCACAGGGGUGUGCUCCCCUCCAGGUGUCACCCCCUCCCAAGGUGUCACCUCACCGAGGUGUCACACCCUCGGGGUGUCCCACCCUGAGGUGUCACCCCCUCAAGGUGUCCCCUCUGCCCAGGUGUUCCCCCAGGUGUCUUCCCUAGUGUUCCAUCCCCUGAUGUCUCUUCUGGUGUCACCCCCCCCCAGGUAUCCCCCUAGAGUUUCUCCCCCAGGUGCCUUCCCCGGGUAUCCCCCAAGUGUCACCCCCCAGGUGUGCCCCCCAGGUGUCCGGGGGGGGGGGGGG
rnacentral:lncRNA from 1 species